AGCUGCCCCGCGGCGCGGCUCUGGCCUUGGGAAAGUGAAUUGGCCUGAAUAUCAAGGAGGAGAACUUGGGUGUGGAAAUACCGGAUUGGCACGAGGGACACCAACACUGGAAUACUUGAUGAGAUGUGUGAAGAGCAUGGCAAUGGAUGCAAACUCCCUUUGUGUUUCUGGCUUUAAGCAGCUCUGUACUCUCAUGCUCUCCUACACUCAGCAGCAAUUUGUUACAAGUUUGGCGAAAUUCUUCCUACUCUUUUGAACUCCAGCCCAAUUUCCUUACUGUCACUGCCCUAGGUCUUACUCUUCCAGAAGAAAAAGGGAAAACUGAACCUGAAUGUCCCCUAAAAGUGAAGAAAUGUCCACACUUCUAUGUGCAGAUUAUAGACCUUUGGAAUCUACAUUCAACAUUUGAUACUGUGUGUGACUCCUGAUGAACAUGCUGAAGAUACAUGAUGUCCAGUAAUUUUUACUGGGGAUAUUACCUACAACAUACAUAAGACGAUGUUAUUAAAGUACAUUUAAAAUUA
rnacentral:lncRNA from 1 species